rnacentral:rRNA from 1 species
UACGGAGGGUGCAAGCGUUAUCCGGAUUCACUGGGUUUACAGGGUGCGUAGGUGGGCAGGUAAGUCAGUGGUGAAAUCUCCGGGCUUAACCCGGAAACUGCCGUUGAUACUAUUUGUCUUGAAUAUAGUGGAGGUGAGCGGAAUAUGUCAUGUAGCGGUGAAAUGCUUAGAUAUGACAUAGAACAUCGAUUGCGAAGGCAGCUCGCUACACUAUUAUUGACACUGAGGCACGAAAGCGUGGGGAUCAAACAGG